rnacentral:rRNA from 1 species
UACAGGGGGUGCAAACGUUGCUCGGAAUUAUUGGGCGUAAAGCGCGCGUAGGCGGUCACCUAAGUCGAAUGUGAAAGCCCUCGGCUCAACCGGGGAAGUGCAUCCGAAACUGGGCGACUGGAGUACCAAAGAGGGUCGCGGAAUUCCCGGUGUAGAGGUGAAAUUCGUAGAUAUCAGGAAGAACACCAGUGGCGAAGGCGGCUCACUGGUCCGGUACUGACGCUGAGGUGCGAAAGCGUGGGGAGCAAACAGG